CCCUUAGAUGUUCUGGGCCGCACGCGUGCUACACUGAGCGGGCCAACGGGUGAGGAUGUGCGAAAGCGCUUCCCAAUCUCUAAAUCCGCUCGUGCUGGGGAUCGAGGCUUGCAAUUAUCCCUCUUGAACGAGGAAUACCUUGUAAGCACGGGUCAUCAUCCCGUGCUGAAUACGUCCCUGCCCUUUGUACACACCGCCCGUCGCUCCUACCGAUUGAGUGGUCCGGUGAGGCCUUGGGGGGGCUAAGUGGGCUGUGUUUCACAGACUACCUGGCCCGAACCUGGUCAAACCUUAUCACUUAGAGGAAGGAGAAGUCGUAACA
rnacentral:rRNA from 1 species